GGGGUCGAGGAAGACGAUAGCGCACCAGGCAAGUGGAAAAACCGUUCUCCCCGACAGCCAGGAACUGUUUAUCACUCUGGAGCCAAUACCCUCCCAACCGGGCUCCUGGACCUUGAAGACAGAGAAGGCAUCUCUGCUACAAAUGUUUCAAUGCUGCAACUAGCAUCUCCGUCCCCGAGGCUAGCGCAGAUAAGAAGGUGAAAAAAAACUCACUAGUGAUUAAA